UCCACAUGUGACAGCGUGGUAAAGUUUGCAUUGGCAAACUUCUUGGCAUUAACAUUCAAUAGAAGCCCUCGUUUCUGUCUCUUGAAGAAGAGCAGCAAGGCCAUCGCCACAGGAACCUCCACCAUCUGCUCCAGCCACCGCUAGCACUUCUGUAGCAGCCAUGCAUGAAGCCCGCAAUCUGCAAGACGUCUAUCUGCUGAUCACCAGGUUCACCUAAGCUGAAUUACUUACCAUUGGUGGAGAGCAAGAAGUAGGCAGCGUUCUGCUGAGGAAGCCAUUUGAUCUUGUUGAUCUUCUCCUCGAUCUCCAAACUCUUCAGGUAGUCAAACUCUGGCUCGUGACUCUGAAAUGUGCUGUAAACAUUGUACUCCCCUCGACG